UACGUAGGGCGCAAGCGUUGUCCGGAAUUACUGGGCGUAAAGGGCUCGUAGGUGGCCAACUAAGUCAGACGUGAAAUCCCUCAGCUUAACUGGGGAACUGCGUCUGAUACUGGAUGGCUUGAGUUUGGGAGAGGGAUGCGGAAUUCCAGGUGUAGCGGUGAAAUGCGUAGAUAUCUGGAGGAACACCGGUGGCGAAGGCGGCAUCCUGGACCAAUACUGACACUGAGGAGCGAAAGCCAGGGGAGCAAACGGG
rnacentral:rRNA from 1 species